rnacentral:rRNA from 1 species
UAGCAGGGGAUGCAAGUGUUAUUCGGAAUUAUUGGGCGUAAAGCGUCUGUAGGUGGAUAUUUAAGUCUUUUGUCAAAUCUUUGGGCUUAACCUAAAACCGGCAAAAGAAACUGCUUAUCUUGAGUCUGGUAGAGGUAAAGGGAAUUUCCAGUGGAGCGGUGAAAUGCGUUGAUAUUGGAAAGGAACACCAAGAGCGAAGGCAACUUUACUGGGCCAGUACUGACACUGAGAGACGAAAGCUAGGGGAGCAAACAGG